GAUGUGACAGUGGACAGGUGCUCAGACACUCGUCCCUGGAGCCACUCCAGUGCUUGUUUCCUCUGAAGCAUGGAGCAGUUCGUACAAAAGGUCUCUGAAAUGAGAAAAUGGUGCUUAAAGGAAACAGACCGCACGAAAGUCAUAGUUUUCUUGCUCCUGGUACGCUUGAAAUGUGGAGCCUCGACUAGAAUCCUGGAGGAUGGGAGCAAGCUGGAUGUGAACAUGGAAAUAUUUACAAAGCAGUAAACUAUAGACAGCACUCUUUGUGCAUGUAAGGAAAAGGUUUAUACCAGCUGUGCAUGUAAGGGAAAGGUUUAUACCAGCUGUGCAUGUAAGGGAAAGGUUUAUACCAGCUGUGCAUGUAAGGGAAAGGUUUAUACCAGCCGUGAAGAAUUUCGUGCUUUUCCUCCCACUCACCUAUUCAUUCGUCUGUCCAUACACUUAUCCAGCCCCUGGUUUAUUCACUAGCUACUCAUGGAUGACCCAGGGUACUCACAGGGACAGAGGACAAAUAAUACGGAGUUAUCCUAAACAAGAACAGAGUCAGCACUGGAGGCGGUGACUUCUCAGCAAAGAGAGACUGUCUUGUGUGUGCUAAUUGAAGUGGGAAUAUCCACCCUGAUCAGGUCUCAUGGGCUGGGUCAUAGAAUGUAGAAACGGAAGAGGGAGCUGAGCGCAGCACCCCUCUCCUCCGGUUCUGGCUGUGGGUGCAACGUGGCCAGCCCCUGUAGACCCCUGCUGCCACACCUUCCUCGGGGUGAUGGACUGGACCCCCUGGAGUGUAAGCCUAAAGAAACCUUUCCCUUAGGUUGUUUUUGCCUGGCAUUUUGUUGCAGAAUUAACUAAGACACCAAUCCUCAGAACUAUGUUUGGCCUGUAUACAAUUGUUACAUAAACAAAAAAGCAGAAAGCA